GAUGAACGCUGGCGGCGUGCCUAACACAUGCAAGUCGAACGGAGCUGCUUUGAUGAAGUUUUCGGAUGGAUUUAAAGCAGCUUAGUGGCGGACGGGUGAGUAACGCGUGGGUAACCUGCCUCACACUGGGGGAUAACAGUUAGAAAUAGCUGCUAAUACCGCAUAAGCGCACAGUUCCGCAUGGAACAGUGUGAAAAACUCCGGUGGUGUGAGAUGGACCCGCGUCUGAUUAGCCAGUUGGCGGGGUAACGGCCCACCAAAGCGACGAUCAGUAGCCGGCCUGAGAGGGUGAACGGCCACAUUGGGACUGAGACACGGCCCAAACUCCUACGGGAGGCAGCAGUGGGGAAUAUUGCACAAUGGGGGAAACCCUGAUGCAGCGACGCCGCGUGAGUGAAGAAGUAUUUCGGUAUGUAAAGCUCUAUCAGCAGGGAAGAAAGUGACGGUAC
rnacentral:rRNA from 1 species